UGCUAAUAUCGCUGUGGAAACACCUGGAACCAUCCCGAACCCAGCAGUUAAGCACAGUGGAGCUAAAUGUAG
rnacentral:rRNA from 1 species